rnacentral:rRNA from 1 species
CCUACGGGAGGCAGCAGUGAGGAAUAUUGGUCAAUGGGCGUAAGCCUGAACCAGCCAAGCCGCGUGAGGGAUGAAGGUUCUAUGGAUCGUAAACCUCUUUUAUAAGGGAAUAAAUUACGGGACGUGUCUCGUUUUGUAUGUAUCUCAUGAAUAAGGAUCGGCUAACUCCGUGCCAGAAGCCGCGGUAAUACGGAGGAUCCGAGCGUUAUCCGGAUUUAUUGGGUUUAAAGGGUGCGUAGGCGGCCAUUUAAGUCAGCGGUGAAAGUCUGUGGCUCAACCAUAGAAUUGCCGUGGAAACUGGGUAGCUGGAGUGUGUUUGAGGCAGGCGGAAUGCGUGGUGUAGCGGUGAAAUGCUUAGAUAUCACGCAGAACCCC